UGUCUGGGGUGUGCGGUAGCUUCUAUUAUGCGCUGAACCUACAUUUUCUGAUAGGGACGGAUCUAUAGAAUUAACUGGCUGACAUGCCCGCUUGACGGGACUUCAAAAGGUUGUGCGAUCGUACCCACCUGGUGUAAGCUAGGAUUCAGGGACUGAAGUCGGCAUUCCGGA
rnacentral:other from 1 species